rnacentral:rRNA from 1 species
UACGGGGGGAGCAAGCGUUGUUCGGAUUUACUGGGCGUAAAGGGCGCGUAGGCGGCCACCGCAAGUCGAUUGUGAAAUCUCCGGGCUUAACCCGGAAAGGUCAACCGAUACUGCGGGGCUAGAGUGCAGAAGGGGCAACUGGAAUUCUCGGUGUAGCGGUGAAAUGCGUAGAUAUCGAGAGGAACACCUGCGACGAAGGCGGGUUGCUGGGCUGACACUGACGCUGAAGUGCGAAAGCUAGGGGAGCGAACGGG